rnacentral:rRNA from 1 species
GACGAACGCUGGCGGCGUGCUUAACACAUGCAAGUCGAACGGAAAGGCCCUUCGGGGUCCUCGAGUGGCGAACGGGUGAGUAACACGUGGGUGAUCAGCCCUGCACUUUGGGAUAAGCCUGGGAAACUGGGUCUAAUACCGAAUAGGACCACGCGCUUCAUGGUGUGUGGUGGAAAGCUUUUGCGGUGUGGGAUGGGCCCGCGGCCUAUCAGCUUGUUGGUGGGGUAAUGGCCUACCAAGGCGACGACGGGUAGCCGGCCUGAGAGGGUGACCGGCCACACUGGGACUGAGAUACGGCCCAGACUCCUACGGGAGGCAGCAGUGGGGAAUAUUGCACAAUGGGCGCAAGCCUGAUGCAGCGACGCCGCGUGAGGGAUGACGGCCUUCGGGUUGUAAACCUCUUUCAAUAGGGACGAAGCGCAAGUGACGGUACCUAUAGAAGAAGCACCGGCCAACUACGUG